rnacentral:rRNA from 1 species
AUUGAACGCUGGCGGAAUGCUUUACACAUGCAAGUCGAGCGGCAGCGCGGGGCAACCUGGCGGCGAGCGGCGAACGGGUGAGUAACACAUCGGAACGUACCCAAUCGUGGGGGAUAACACAUCGAAAGAUGUGCUAAUACCGCAUAAGUCCUGAGGGAGAAAGCGGGGGAUCGCAAGACCUCGCGCGGAUGGAGCGGCCGAUGGCGGAUUAGCUAGUUGGUGGGGUAAAGGCCUACCAAGGCGACGAUCCGUAGCUGGUCUGAGAGGACGACCAGCCACACUGGAACUGAGACACGGUCCAGACUCCUACGGGAGGCAGCAGUGGGGAAUUUUGGACAAUGGGCGCAAGCCUGAUCCAGCCAUUCCGCGUGAGUGAAGAAGGCCUUCGGGUUGUAAAGCUCUUUCGGCAGGGAAGAAACGGUUCUGGCUAAUACCUGGGGCUAAUGACGGUACCUGAAGAAGAAGCACCGGCUAACUACGUGCCAGCAGCCGCAGUAA